CUCCAUAAAAGUUGGAAACUUUUCAAAAAAAGGAACAAGAAAUGACACAACCCAUGGGCAAACACAUGUCAAAUAAAUAACUGCCCCGGAACUGAGAGCCCAGCAGAUGGAAAUAGUCCGGGUGAACUGGGAGCGAGCGAAACGCGGAUUCAAUGUCCGACUUCGCAAGAAGGACCCCCGAUCCCGCUUCCUGAACCAAGUCCAACACUCUGUCAAAGGAGGCAUAACAGACUCUCGAAACCUCCUUAUCAAUUUCAUCAUUCACCGACCCGCCCGAAGGGUAUCACAGGUGGUGAACGGAAUGAGAUGA